GAUGAACGCUAGCGGGAGGCCUAACACAUGCAAGCCGAGCGGUAUUGUUUCUUCGGAAAUGAGAGAGCGGCGUACGGGUGCGGAACACGUGUGCAACCUGCCUUUAUCUGGGGGAUAGCCUUUCGAAAGGAAGAUUAAUACUCCAUAAUAUAUUGAACGGCAUCGUUUAAUAUUGAAAGCUCCGGCGGAUAGAGAUGGGCACGCGCAAGAUUAGCUAGUUGGUGAGGUAACGGCUCACCAAGGCGAUGAUCUUUAGGGGGCCUGAGAGGGUGAUCCCCCACACUGGUACUGAGACACGGACCAGACUCCUACGGGAGGCAGCAGUGAGGAAUUUUGGACAAUGGGUGCAAGCCUGAACCAGCCAUCCCGCGUGAAGGACGACUGCCCUAUGGGUUGUAAACUUCUUUUGUAUAGGGAUAAACCUACCCUCGUGAGGGUAGCUGAAGGUACUAUACGAAUAAGCACCGGCUAACUCCGUGCCAGCAGCCGCCGUAAAAC
rnacentral:rRNA from 1 species